AGUGCACUCAGUCGACAACGUAUGACUCAAUAUGAUAAACAGAAAAAAAUAGGAAUAUAAUAAUUUCUAGAGUACGUGCUAGUAUUGAAAACGCGCGACAUGCUCCAUUCUAGAUAUUCAAGAAUGUCCCAUGGGGAAAAGGGCAAUAACACACUCCUUUUCAUGAAAGCAGAAGAGACACCAAGAAGAAGAAAGCGACGAAGCAGACAAGUAACAAAAUCCAAGUCGAUGACAUGUCCUACACAAAAAAAAAGAGAUGAGCAACUAUGGGAUUGCAGACGGUUAUUUUCAAGAGGUGGAGCGCGGGGGUAGAGAACUGGAGAAUCGCUGGGUGUUUUGGUUUCUGUUUGGAUGACCUACAAAAAGCGAAUUGAUGCUAUGUAAAAAGCCCACACUUUUCUCUGAAUAAUCAGUUUGCACCUAAAACGA